rnacentral:sRNA from 1 species
ACAGGCUGGUAGUGGUGGGAUGAGAGUUCCAACUGCGGCUUGCAGAGUGGGCUGGCGGGUGGUCCAGGGCAAGAGAAAGUGGUGCCAGGCCUGCCUUGCUCUGCCAGGAACCAUGAGUGAGGCCCGCAGGGACAGCACCAGCAGUCUGCAGCGCAAGAAGCCACCCUGGCUAAAGCUGGACAUUCCCUCUGCGGUGCCCCCGACAGCGGAAGAGCCCAGCUUCCUGCAGGUAGGCCCUGUCCUGCAGGGACUGUGGGUGCCCCCUGGCCAGUGCCCUCACCAUGACCCUGUUGCCCAGCCCCUGAGGCGACAGGCUUUCCUGAGGAGUGUGAGUAUGCCAGCCGAGACAGCCCACAUCUCUUCGCCCCACCAUGAGCUCCGGCGGCCGGUGCUGCAGCGCCAGACGUCCAUCACACAGACCAUCCGCAGGUACCGACGUGGCCCGGCUGCUCCAUGGGGUGAGAGCUGGGGGUUGGCAGGGCAGAGGCAGGUACACUGAGGAUGGGAAUGAGAACAAGGGCCCUCUUGUCUCAGCUUCCUCCUCCAUCUCGGUCCCCACAUCCCCUUGCCCUCCU